rnacentral:lncRNA from 1 species
GCAUAAUGUUGGUUUGGGACCCUUGGUUACACAAUAUUGGUUCGGAGUCCUGGGUCGCAUAAUGUUAGCCUAGGAUCCUUCCAAGUGUCAACUAGUCAACUGAGGUUGACCUAGAUAUCUAGAUCCUCCAUCAAUCCUUAAGAUAUAUAUGUAGAAAGAUAAAAAGAGAAAAUAGAGAGAGAAAGAGUGAAGAAGAGAGAGAAAGAGAGAGCAAGAGAGAGGAAAAGAGAAAGCAAGAGGGAGAGAGAGGACCAUGGUUCUCUUCUCGAAAGAAAGGAAGAAUAUGAGUUCUAGGGCUAGCCAUUCCUAAGGUGGUGACCCC